rnacentral:piRNA from 1 species
UGAGUGGCCCCUCGAGAGACAGAGAGC